rnacentral:rRNA from 1 species
GAUGAACGCUGGCGGCGUGCCUAAUACAUGCAAGUCGAGCGAAGCGGGGACGGGUGAGUAACACGUGGAUAACCUCCUAUAAGACUGGGAUAACUUCGGGGAACCGGAGCUAAACCGGAAACUUAUAGAUGGAUCCGCGCUGCAUUAGCUAGUUGAUGAGGUAACGGCUUACCAAGGCCACGAUGCCUAGCCGAUCUGAGAGGGUGACCGGCCACACUGGAACUGAGACACGGUCCAGACUCCUACGGGAGGCAGCAGUGGGGAAUCUUCCGCAAUGGGCGAAAGCCUGACGGAGCAAUGCCGCGUGAGUGAAGAAGGUCUUCGGAUCGUAAAACUCUGUUAUCAGGGAAGCGGUACCUAAUCAGAAAGCCACGGCUAACUACGUGCCAGCAGCCGCGGUAAUUC